rnacentral:tRNA from 1 species
GAACUAGUGGUCUAGUGGCAGAAUAGUACCCUGCCACGGUUCAGACCCGUGUUCGGUUCCCGGCUGGUGCA